rnacentral:rRNA from 1 species
GACCACUGCUAUCGGAGUCCGACUAAGCCAUGCGAGGUUGUUGGUAUGCGUGAAGCUUUUAGCUUCGUGCAUACCAAACCGUACUGCUGAGUAACACGUAGCUAAUCUACCCUAAGGACGGGGAUAACCUCGGGAAACUGAGGAUAAUCCCCGAUAGGCGAGAGAGGCUGGAAUGCGCUCUCGCCAAAAGGUGAGAUGAAAUUCUCACGCCUUAGGACGAGGCUGCGGCGGAUUAGGUUGUUGUUUGGGUAAAAACCAAACAAGCCUAUAAUCCGUAGGGGUCUUGAGAGAGAUAGCCCCCAGAUGGACUCGGAGACAUGAGUCCAGGCUCUAUGGAGCGCAGCAGGCGCGAAACCUUCGCAAUGCGCGCAAGCGCGACGAGGGGACUCCGAGUGCCCUCUACUAAUGUAGAGGGCUUUUGCCGAGUGUAAAAAGCUCGGCGAAUAAGGGGUGGGCAAGACGGUUGCCAGCCGCCGCGGUAAUAACCGCGCCCCGAGUGGUGGUCACGUUUAUUGGGCCUAAAGCAUCCGUAGCCGGUUUUGUGUGUUCUCGGUGAAAUCCUCUUGUAAACAAGAGGGCUUGCCGAGAAUACUACAGAACUUCGGGGUAGGGAGAGGCCAAGGGUACUCUCGAGGUAGGGGUCAAAUCCGUUAAUCUCGAGGGGACCACCUGUGGCGAAGACGCUCGGCCAGAACUAACCCGACGGUCAUGGAUGAAAGCUAGGGGAGCGAUCGGGAUUAGAUACCCCGGUAGUCCUAGCCGUAAACGAUGCCCACUUGUUGUUGCGGUCGUCUAGGGCGACCGCAGCGGCGGAGCGAAGGCGUUAAGUGGGCCGCCUGGGGAGUACGGCCGCAAGGCUGAAACUUAAAGGAAUUGGCGGGGGAGCACUACAAGGGGUGGAGGCUACGGUUC